GGUAGAAAGAGAUGGGACGAGAAAAGAGGAUAGAGAAUGAAAUUUUGUUAGUUUGUGAAUUUUUUUUUUUUUAGUUAUUAGGUUCAAUUUAUGUUUAAUCUUUGCUUUGUUUUUUUCCUUCUUAUUUUCCCUCACAUUCAUUCUUUACUUAUUUGGUGUGAUGUAGAACCCCUGUUCGAAAACACGGUGUCCGCGGCCGGAAACUCGCCGAAAACUCGCGUUGCGCUAUAGCACCGUCGCGAUUUGGUGCAAUACGGUCAAUUAAUCGGACAUUUUUUUAAAUCAUCGUUUUCGAACGUUUUGUGUUCGAAAUCACAUACGUAUUUGUUAUACUUGUUAAAUUAUAGUUAAAACCUACAAGAAUAGCAGAAAGAAACAGUUGAAUCGAAAUAAAAAAAAUAAUG
rnacentral:lncRNA from 1 species